rnacentral:tRNA from 1 species
GCCGGAGUGGCGGAAUUGGUAGACGCAAGGGACUUAAAAUCCCUCGGGUUCACGCUCGUGCCGGUUCGAGUCCGGCCUCCGGCA